rnacentral:rRNA from 1 species
AUUGAACGCUGGCGGCAUGCUUUACACAUGCAAGUCGAACGGUAACAGGCCGCAAGGUUCUGACGCGUGGCGAACGGGUGAGUAAUGCAUCGGAACGUGCCCAGUCGUGGGGGAUAACUACUCGUCAGAGUAGCUAAUACCGCAUACGAUCUAUGGAUGAACGCGGGGGACCGUAAGGCCUCGCGCGAUUGGAGCGGCCGAUGUCAGCUUAGGUAGUUGGUGGGGUAAAGGCUCACCAAGCCAACGAGCUGUAGCUGGUCUGAGAGGACGACCAGCCACACUGGGACGGAGACACGGCCCAGACUCCUACGGGAGGCAGCAGUGGGGAAUGUGGGACAAUGGGCGCAAGCCUGAUCCAGCAAUGCCGCGUGCAGGAAGAAGGCCUUCGGGUUGUAAACUGCUUUUGUACGGAACGAAACGGCUCUGGUUAAGACCCGGGGCUAAUGACGGUACCGUAAGAAGAAGCACCGGCUAACUACGUG